rnacentral:rRNA from 1 species
AGAGUUUGAUCCUGGCUCAGGAUGAACGCUAGCGGGAGGCCUAACACAUGCAAGCCGAGCGGUAGAGAUUCUUCGGAAUCUUGAGAGCGGCGUACGGGUGCGGAACACGUGUGCAACCUACCUUUAUCUGGAGGAUAGCCUUUCGAAAGGAAGAUUUAAUACUCCAUAAUAUAUUUGAUGGCAUCAUUAAAUAUUGAAAGCUCCGGCGGAUAGAGAUGGGCACGCGCAAGAUUAGCUAGUUGGUGAGGUAACGGCUCACCAAGGCAAUGAUCUUUAGGGGCCUGAGAGGGUGAUCCCCCACACUGGUACUGAGACACGGACCAGACUCCUACGGGAGGCAGCAGUGAGGAAUAUUGGUCAAUGGGUGCAAGCCUGAACCAGCCAUCCCGCGUGAAGGACGACUGCCUAUGGGUUGUAAACUUCUUUUGUAUAGGGAUAAACCUACUCUCGUGAGAGUAGCUGAAGGUACUAUACGAAUAAGCACCGGCUAACUCCGUG